ACGAACGCUGGUCGCGCGUCUAAUACAUGCAAGUCGAACGAGAAUGUGUAGCAAUACACAUGUACAGUGGCCAACGGGUGAGGACUACAUGGGUAACCUACCCUCGAGUGGGGAAUAACCAGCCGAAAGGUUGGCUAAUACCGCGUACGCUUCCUAGACUGCGGUUUGGGAAGGAAAGCGAUACCGUGGGUAUCGCGCUCUUGGAUGGGCUCAUGCCCUAUCAGCUUGUUGGUGAGGUAACGGCUCACCAAGGCAUCGACGGGUAGCUGAUCUGAGAGGAUGAUCAGCCACACUGGCACUGCGACACGGGCCAGACUCCUACGGGAGGCAGCAGU
rnacentral:rRNA from 1 species